rnacentral:snRNA from 1 species
AGCUUUGCGCAGUGGCAGUAUCGUAGCCAAUGAGGUUUAUCCGAGGCGCGAUUAUUGCUAAUUGAAAACAUAGGCAAGUGUCAAGUGAGCCAUUAGUAGCAAACGGCUGUCCUGAGAGCUUCUCCGCAAUAACAACGCAGUGGCUCAGAAAUACAUAUUGCAUGUGGAACAGCAUCCAUGUCCAUGUGCACAAAACACAAUACUUUUUGAGAUUUUAUUUAUCUGUGGAGAGGAAA